GACGAACGCUGGCGGCGUGCCUAACACAUGCAAGUCGAACGGAAAGGCCCUGCUUUUGUGGUGUGCUCGAGUGGCGAACGGGGGAGUGACAGGUGAGUAACCUGCUCUUGACUUUGGGAUAACUUCAGGAAACUGGGGCUAAUACCGGAUAGGAUCCCCCGUAGCAGUGUGGGCGGUGGAAAGUUUCGGCGGUUGGGGAUGGACUCGCGGGUUAUGGGCUUGUUGGUGGGGGAGUUGCUUACCAAGGCUGUGACGGGUAGGCGGCACGGGAGGGUGAACGGCGACAAUGGGCCUGAGAGACGGACCAGACUGCAACGGGAGGCAGCGGUGGGAAAUAUGGCACAGCGGGCGGAAGCCUGAGGCAGAAGCGCCGCGUGCGGAAUGCCGGCUUUUGGGUUGAGAACAGCUUUCGCCUGAGACGAAGCGUGAGUGACGGUAACGAAUAAAGAAGCACCGGCUAACUACGUG
rnacentral:rRNA from 1 species